rnacentral:rRNA from 1 species
AGGACGAACGCUGGCGGCGUGCCUAACACAUGCAAGUCGAGCGGGGACAUACGACGGAACCAAAGUUUCGGAUGGAGGUGAAGAUGUAUGUUCUAGCGGCGGACGGGUGAGUAACGCGUGAGCAACCUGUCCCUUACAGGGGGAUAACACAGCGAAAGUUGUACUAAUACCGCAUGAGACCACGGGGAGACAUCUUUCAGGGGUCAAAGGAGCAAUCCGGGUAAGGGGUGGGCUCGCGUCCGAUUAGAUAGUUGGUGAGGUAACGGCCCACCAAGUCGACGAUCGGUAGCCGACCUGAGAGGGUGAUCGGCCACAUUGGGACUGAGACACGGCCCAAACUCCUACGGGAGGCAGCAGUGGGGAAUAUUGGGCAAUGGGGGGAACCCUGACCCAGCAACGCCGCGUGAGGGAAGAAGGUUUUCGGAUCGUAAACCUCUGUCCUUGGUGAAGAGGAAGAGACGGUAGCCAAGGAGGAAGCCCCGGCUAACUACGUGCCAGCAGCAGC